GCCUCCUUGGCUCAGUUGGUUGGAGUGCCGAGAAAUCUGUUCUUGGAGGCGAGGGUUCGAAUCCCUCAGGAGGCA